UUCUUUUUUUUUCUUCUUUCUCGUCUCUCUCUGCUCCUCCUCCGAAAACACCCCCCUCCACUUCUCUCCUCGAUUUCAUCUACUUAGGGCGUAAUUCCGAACAAAGCCAAAGACUUAAAGUUGUUAUACGGAGCGCGGGCUUCCUAUCCAUCCGAGAAAAAUCAUGAUCGGACCUCGUGGGGCUACGGUUGACUUGGUCAAAGGGUCGGGUUUUGCUCAAAACCCUUGAGGACAGUUUUGGUCCGUUGAUUCUCGUUCGUCUGUUUUGAUCUGUAAGAUGGGAUCUAUACUCUUCAUACUCCUCGAAGCCGGUAAGAUGGAAUCUGUACUCUUCGUACCAAAGCCGUACUCGAUGUGUGCAUAUGGGAUAGUGUACUUGGAUAGCUUUUGUAGCUGUUUUCGAUCUAGCAAGUGCCCUUCCAACAUUCCAGAAUCCAUUCUCUCUCUCGCUCUCGGAAGGUGAACAGUGAGUCAUUGACUACCCAAUCUCUAGUACUUUAUGUGUUAGUAGCUCGUAUUUAACUUGGUGGAUACCUCUAACCUGGUUUUAUGCCAAACCUGAUGUGUAACAAAGCUAGGCUAAAUAUUGAAUUUGUUUUUAGUUAGUAUAGUUAGUUUUAUUUGAUUGCAUUGCUUAGCCGAAGUGGUGGCAUAACCCCUCGCAUAUUCUGUUUGCUGAGUUGAGGUGGCGGCCUAGUCCCUCCAGUCUGUUAGUUUGUUGUUAGUUUGUUAGUCUGUUAGCUGUUUAUUUGAUUGCAUUUCAUGAGCGUUAAUUUUUUGCACAAUAAGAAACAUGUGGACUGGGAGGCAACCGAAAAUUGAAAUUGGUGAUAUAUUCACUUGUCGUGGAUUGCAAUACUGGCGUGUCUUGAUGAGAAUACAUUUGUAAGAGCAUGUGUUU